CGCAUAUUGUAUCCUUUCAGUCAUGUAGUUCAUCUUCUUGUCAACUCUCUAAUGCUUCUAAUAUGAUUGAUGUCUAUCAGGCUGUUGCUGAUAUAAUUCGUACAACCUUGGGACCCAGGUCCAUGUUGAAAAUGCUACUUGAUGCUGCGGGAGUGGGGGCUCUUCUAACUUGAAAAGGUGAUUUCUUUAGUAAACAUUGUCUGUGGAUUGUGCAGGAGGUAUUGUGGUGACAAAUGAUGGAAAUGCUAUCUUGCGUGAGAUAGAUCUUGCUCAUCC